AUGAUUAUUUUAAAUCCAUUACAAGAUAUAAUAACUUCAUACGAUCCAACACAAGAAUCUAGUGAUGAUACUACAACAGCUUCUUUAAGUAAUGGUAAAAGAAUGUGUGACGACAGUAAAGAAGAUGACAAUAAAAACAUGGGAAUAGUAUUAGGUAAUAAUAACUACAUACAUAAUAAUAUUGAUAAAAACCACAACAAUAACAAUAUUAAAACAAUUUUACAUUCUUAUGAAAAAAAAAAUCAUUAUAAUACAAUACUAAAGACAGAUAAACUAACAGAUAAAAUAAAUUUAGUACAAAAAGCAAAUUUAAAAUAUAUUUUUGAUCAAUCUUUUAAUGAGUUACAAGAAGUAUGUGAAAGUUUUCUUUUAAUAAAUGAAAAUGUAGAUGUACUGUCAUACAAAAUUGAAGAAAAAAUAAAAAGUUUAUGGUUUAUUCCUGGAAAUAUAUAUAAAAAAGUAAAAAAAUCUAUUAAAUAUAAAAAAUAUUUAAUUGAAAAUUAUUGGCCAUAUAAUGAAGAUGAUGAAGAAAUGGAAGAAACUAAUAUAAAUGUAGCACCAUUCUUAUUUCCUAAAACAUUAGGAAAUUUAGCAAAAAAAGAUAAUAAUUGGAAACUCGAAAUUGUUAAAUUUUGUAUUUUUCUUAUGCAAAAUGAUAAAUUAUUAAAUUUAGAAAAUGAAAAUUCAAACGAGGCAUUCCAUGAAAAAAGACAUGAAUUAUAUGAAAUCGUAGGAGAAACUGAAUAUAAUUCUAACAGUGCUUUAUGGAAAAGUCCAUGUCAUGAAUUAAUUUUAAAAGAUAUCUUUUGCGAACAUUGUUCAUCUGUUUAUCACAUGAACGUUGUCACAACUCUAGUAGAAGCAGAAAUUAGUGGAAAAAAUACUUUUAUUUGGCUCUGCAAAAAUUGCAAUUCCAAACUCGAUAAUGAAUUUAUAGAGUUGAGAAUUUUGUCUUUAUUGCAGGAGACGUUUGAUGCGUACAACGCACAAGACUUAAUAUGUAACAACUGUAAUGCGAUAAAAUCAGUUCACAGAAGAUUAAUUUGCAAAU
rnacentral:lncRNA from 1 species